rnacentral:rRNA from 1 species
UGGGGAAUAUUGGACAAUGGGCGGAAGCCUGAUCCAGCAACGCCGCGUGAGGGAUGACGGCCUUCGGGUUGUAAACCUCUUUCAGUGCAGACGAAGCGCAAGUGACGGUAUGCACAGAAGAAGGACCGGCCAACUACGUGCCAGCAGCCGCGGUAAUACGUAGGGUCCGAGCGUUGUCCGGAAUUAUUGGGCGUAAAGGGCUCGUAGGCGGUCUGUUGCGUCGGGAGUGAAAACCCAGGGCUUAACCCUGGGCCUGCUUUCGAUACGGGCAGACUAGAGGCAUUCAGGGGAGAACGGAAUUCCUGGUGUAGCGGUGAAAUGCGCAGAUAUCAGGAGGAACACCGGUGGCGAAGGCGGUUCUCUGGGAAUGUUCUGACGCUGAGGAGCGAAAGUGUGGGGAGCGAACA